GACACGCUGGGCGGCGUGCCCUAAACACAUGCAAGUCGAGCGGAGUCGAUCGACGGAAGCCUUCGGGCGGAAGAUGGUUGACUUAGCGGCGGAUGGGUGAGUAACGCGUGGGCAACCUGCCUCGAAGACCGGGAUAACAGCCCGAAAGGGCUGCUAAUACCGGAUGUGGUCAAGGAUCCGCAUGGAUUUUUGAUUAAAGGGGAAACCCGUUUCGAGAUGGGCCCGCGUCCUAUCAGCUAGUUGGUGAGGUAAAAGCUCACCAAGGCGACGACGGGUAGCCGGCCUGAGAGGGUGACCGGCCACACUGGAACUGAGACACGGUCCAGACUCCUACGGGGGGCAGCAGUGGGGAAUAUUGCACAAUGGGGGAAACCCUGAUGCAGCGACGCCGCGUGAAGGAAGAAGGCCCUCGGGUUGUAAACUUCUUUGACCAGGGACGAAGAAAGUGACGGUACCUGGAGAACAAGCCACGGCUAACUACGUG
rnacentral:rRNA from 1 species